rnacentral:rRNA from 1 species
UACAGGGGGCGCAAGCGUUGCUCGGAAUUACUGGGCGUAAAGCGUACGCAGGCGGCUCGUCAAGUCGGGUGUGAAAGCCCAGGGCUCAACCCUGGAACUGCAUUCGAAACUGGCGGGCUUGAAUACGGGAGAGGGCAGCGGAAUUCCUGGUGUAGAGGUGAAAUUCGUAGAUAUCAGGAGGAACACCAGUGGCGAAAGCGGCUGCCUGGCCCGAUAUUGACGCUCAUGUACGAGAGCGUGGGGAGCAAACAGG